GAUGAACGCUGGCGGCGUGCCUAAUACAUGCAAGUCGAGCGAACAGACGAGGAGCUUGCUCCUCUGACGUUAGCGGCGGACGGGUGAGUAACACGUGGAUAACCUACCGAUAAGACUGGGAUAACUUCGGGAAACCGGAGCUAAUACCGGAUAAUAUAUUGAACCGCAUGGUUCAAUAGUGAAAUACGGUUUUGCUGUCACUUAUAGAUGGAUCCUUGCCGCAUUAGCUAGUUGGUAAGGUAACGGCUUACCAAGGCAACGAUGCGUAGCCGACCUGAGAGGGUGAUCGGCCACACUGGAACUGAGACACGGUCCAGACUCCUACGGGAGGCAGCAGUAGGGAAUCUUCCGCAAUGGGCGAAAGCCUGACGGAGCAACGCCGCGUGAGUGAUGAAGGUCUUCGGAUCGUAAAACUCUGUUAUUAGGGAAGAACAAAUGUGUAAGUAACUAUGCACGUCUUGACGGUACCUAAUCAGAAAGCCACGGCUAACUACGUG
rnacentral:rRNA from 1 species